CAAACAGGAUUAGAUACCCUGGUAGUCCACGCCGUAAACGAUGAGCACUAAGUGUCGGUCGAAAGAUCGGUGCUGUAGCUAACGCAUUAAGUGCUCCGCCUGGGGAGUACGGUCGCAAGACUGAAACUCAAAGGAAUUGACGGGGACUCGCACAAGCGGUGGAGCAUGUGGUUUAAUUCGAAGCAACGCGAAGAACCUUACCAGGUCUUGACAUCCUUUUGAAUACACUAGAGAUAGUGUAGGCCUUCGGGACAGAAGAGACAGGUGGUGCAUGGUUGUCGUCAGCUCGUGUCGUGAGAUGUUGGGUUAAGUCCCGCAACGAGCGCAACCCUUGUCAUUAGUUACUAACAUUAAGUUGAGGACUCUAAUGAGACUGCCAGUGAUAAACUGGAGGAAGGUGGGGAUGACGUCAAAUCAUCAUGCCCCUUAUGACCUGGGCUACACACGUGCUACAAUGGUCGGUACAAAGAGUCGCAAAGUCGUGAGGCCAAGCUAAUCUCAUAAAACCGAUCUCAGUUCAGAUUGUAGUCUGCAACUCGACUACAUGAAGUCGGAAUCGCUAGUAAUCGCGAAUCAGCAUGUCGCGGUGAAUACGUUCUCGAGUCUUGUACACACCGCCCGUCACACCAUGAGAGUUUGUAAUACCCAAAACCGGUGGCCUAACCGCAAGGAGGGAGCCGUCUAAGGUAGGACAGAUGAUUGGGGUGAAGUCGUAACAAGGUAUCCCUACGAGAACGUGGGGAUG
rnacentral:rRNA from 1 species